UACGGAGGGGGCUAGCGUUGUUCGGAAUUACUGGGCGUAAAGGGCUCGUAGGCGGCCAACUAAGUCAGACGUGAAAUCCCUCAGCUUAACUGGGGAACUGCGUCUGAUACUGGAUGGCUUGGAUUCGGGAGAGGAAUGCGGAAUUCCAGGUGUAGCGGUGAAAUGCGUAGAUAUCCGGAGGAACACCGGUGGCGAAAGCAGCUCUCUGGGACGGUACUGACGCUGAGACGCGAAAGCGUGGGGAGCGAACAGG
rnacentral:rRNA from 1 species